AACGAACGCUGGCGGCAUGCCUAACACAUGCAAGUCGAACGAGACCUUCGGGUCUAGUGGCGCACGGGUGCGUAACGCGUGGGAACCUGCCCUUAGGUUCGGAAUAACUCCCCGAAAGGGGUGCUAAUACCGGAUAAUGUCUUCGGACCAAAGAUUUAUCGCCUUUGGAUGGGCCCGCGUUGGAUUAGCUAGUUGGUAGGGUAAAAGCCUACCAAGGCGACGAUCCAUAGCUGGUCUGAGAGGAUGGUCAGCAACACUGGGACUGAGACACGGCCCAGACUCCUACGGGAGGCAGCAGUGGGGAAUAUUGGAAAAUGGGCGGAAGCCUGAUCCAGCAAUGCCGCGUGAGUGAUGAAGGCCUUAGGGUUGUAAAGCUCUUUUACCCGGGAUGAUAAUGACGGUACCGGGAGAAUAAGCCCCGGCUAACUCCGUG
rnacentral:rRNA from 1 species